rnacentral:rRNA from 1 species
AUUGAACGCUGGCGGCAUGCUUUACACAUGCAAGUCGAACGGCAGCGCGGGCUUCGGCCUGGCGGCGAGUGGCGAACGGGUGAGUAAUACAUCGGAACGUACCCAGUAGUGGGGGAUAGCUCGACUAAAGCCGGAUUAAUACCGCAUCCGACCUUAGGUUGAACGGGGGGGAUCUUCGGACCUCGCGCUAUUGGAUGGGCCGUUGGCAGGUUAGCUAGUUGGUGGGGUAAAGGCCUACCAAGGCGACGAUCUGUAGCUGGUCUGAGAGGACGACCAGCCACACUGGAACUGAGACACGGCCCAGACUCCUACGGGAGGCAGCAGUGGGGAAUUUUGGACAAUGGGCGAAAGCCUGAUCCAGCAAUGCCGCGUGUGUGAUGAAGGCCUUCGGGUUGUAAAGCACUUUUGGCGGGAACGAAAAGGACUGUGCCAAUACCACGGUUCGAUGACGGUACCCGCAGAAUAAGCACCGGCUAACUACGUG